rnacentral:rRNA from 1 species
GAUGAACGCUGGCGGCGUGCCUAAUACAUGCGAGUCGAGCGAACAGACGAGGAGCUUGCUCCUCUGACGUUAGCGGCGGACGGGUGAGUAACACGUGGAUAACCUACCUAUAAGACUGGGAUAACUUCGGGAAACCGGAGCUAAUACCGGAUAAUAUAUUGAACCGCAUGGUUCAAUAGUGAAAGACGGUUUUGCUGUCACUUAUAGAUGGAUCCGCGCCGCAUUAGCUAGUUGGUAAGGUAACGGCUUACCAAGGCAACGAUGCGUAGCCGACCUGAGAGGGUGAUCGGCCACACUGGAACUGAGACACGGUCCAGACUCCUACGGGAGGCAGCAGUAGGGAAUCUUCCGCAAUGGGCGAAAGCCUGACGGAGCAACGCCGCGUGAGUGAUGAAGGUCUUCGGAUCGUAAAACUCUGUUAUUAGGGAAGAACAAAUGUGUAAGUAACUAUGCAUGUCUUGACGGUACCUAAUCAGAAAGCCACGGCUAACUACGUG